AGCGAACGCUGGCGGCAGGCCUAACACAUGCAAGUCGAACGAAGUCUUCGGACUUAGUGGCGGACGGGUGAGUAACACGUGGGAACGUGCCUUUAGGUUCGGAAUAACUCAGGGAAACUUGUGCUAAUACCGAAUGUGCCCUUCGGGGGAAAGAUUUAUCGCCUUUAGAGCGGCCCGCGUCUGAUUAGCUAGUUGGUGAGGUAAAGGCUCACCAAGGCUACGAUCAGUAGCUGGUCUGAGAGGAUGACCAGCCACAUUGGGAUUGAGACACGGCCCAAACUCCUACGGGAGGCAGCAGUGGGGAAUCAUGCGCAAUGGGCGAAAGCCUGACGCAGCCAUGCCGCGUGGAUGAUGAAGGUCUUAGGAUUGUAAAAUCCUUUCACCGGUGAAGAUAAUGACUGUAGCCGGAGAAGAAGCCCCGGCUAACUUCGUGCCAGCCGCCGCAGUAAGAC
rnacentral:rRNA from 1 species